UUCCAGCUCCAAUAGCGUAUAUUAAAGUUGUUGCAGUUAAAAAGCUCGUAGUUGAAUUUCGGGGUUAGUAGGCUGGUCAUGCCUCCGGUAUGUACUGGUCUCACUGAUUCCUCCUUCCUGAUGAACCGUAAUGCCAUUAAUUUGGUGUUGCGGGGAAUCUGGACUGUUACUUUGAAAAAAUUAGAGUGUUUAAAGCAAGCUAACGCUUGAAUACAUUAGCAUGGAAUAAUGAAAUAGGACGUUCGAUCUUAUUUUGUUGGUUUCUAGGAUUGACGUAAUGAUUAAUAGGGAUAGUUGGGGGCAUUAGUAUUCAAUUGUCAGAGGUGAAAUUCUUGGAUUUAUUGAAGACUAACUACUGCGAAAGCAUUUGCCAAGGAUGUUUUCAUUAAUCAAGAACGAAAGUUAGGGGAUCGAAGACGAUCAGAUACCGUCGUAGUCUUAACCAUAAACUAUGCGACUAGGGAUCGG
rnacentral:rRNA from 1 species